rnacentral:rRNA from 1 species
UACGUAGGGUGCGAGCGUUGUCCGGAAUUAUUGGGCGUAAAGAGCUCGUAGGCGGUGUGUCGCGUCGGCCGUGAAAACCUGGGGCUUAACUCUGGGCGUGCGGUCGAUACGGGCAUCACUGGAGUUCGGCAGGGGAGACUGGAAUUCCUGGUGUAGCGGUGAAAUGCGCAGAUAUCGGAAGGAACACCAGUGGCGAAAAGCGGCUUCCUGGUCCAGCACCGACGUUCAGGCACGAAAGCGUGGGGAGCAAACAGG